AUCAAAAUUGCACAAGAACACCACCUCACGUCGUAAUUACCCCUGAAAAGAUGGAAGAUGUUUAUGAUACACGAUCUAGCGAGAUGAGAUAAACUUUGACCUUUCAUCAUGGCGGAGAGCAGCGAAAGUGUCGUGAAUGAGUAUCUUGAUAAACUGAACUGGAUGGUUCUUCUCUGCUGGAGAAGUGGGAAGCUCUGACACAGUUCACUUUCAUCAGGCUGGACCCAGUGAAGUUGCUUCCAGGAGGAUCACAUCACAUCACUGCAAAGCUGUAUGGAAGGAAAGAAGAACAGGUUAAUGGCAUGGGGCAACGACAGUGGACAUUCUGCAUGGAGUUUUUGAAAAUGCUGUCAUCCCACACUCCAGGGCAUGGAUCAUGUCAAUGGUCAUCAUUGGAGCCAAUCACAAUCUUGCAUUGACAGAUGGUAAAUGACAAAAGAGACAUCAUGUGUCCAGAAAUCAUUGCAAACCCUCAAGCGAAGGACAUGGCUGAAGGAGUCUGGUAUACUUCUCACUGGUGGAGAGCAUUUCCUAUGGGGUCUAAUCCCUUCUGUUUCAUGGGUCAGUGACCAUUCCGACCUCAAAAGAUUUUGGACCCCCCAGCUGGCUUCACUAGCAGGUCAAAAGAUAUCAGAGCUGGUUCAACAUGAGCUACAUCAAGCAUGGACCAGAGUUUUUAAAAGAAAGAAGGUUGGAUUCUGAAAAACAAUGGAAAGAUGUAUCAAACCAAAAUGGGAAAGAUUUGACAUUGCAUGGCUCAGCAUUUUCUGGGAUCAGCCUCACAAGAGGAAAGGGCCGGACCGCAAAAGGAUUCUCAUCAGCAAAAAGUACCCAGCAACAAGGGAGGAAAAGGACACAACAGGCCAUAAACCAGGAAGCAAAGGUUGUUUUUACCAUCAUACAACUUUUACCAUUACACUCUCAGUGUUCAGGUUGUAACAGGACAUCAAAGCAUGAUUUAAGAAGCCUCUGUACUCAAUAUUUAUCAGAAAAUAACAGCAUUUUUUUUUCUUUA